rnacentral:lncRNA from 1 species
UGAUUGUGAGCGUUCUUGUGAAGCUGACAUUUUAAAGAACACCAACUAUAAGGGAUUUUUUCAGCUAAUGUGCAGUAAAAGUUGCUGUAUUUACUUCCAUAAAAUUUGUUGGAAAAAGUUCAAGAACUUAAAGUAUCCAGGAGAAAGUGAUCAGGUAAAGCGGUCACACCACAGCACACCUCUGCCUUCUUCCCUGCUGUCUGUGGAGUCUUCCGGUCACUCGACGCUCCCUUCACUCCCUCCUUUUACUCUCAGUUCUCUGGUGAUUUUCUUCUUGUCACCCUCAGUUUAAGGAUGCGCUUUAUUUUAAAGAUGGAAAAUAAGAAAAUUUAGUGUUCAGAUAUGCAGUUAUUUUAUUUAAUUAUGAUAGUUAUGAUAAAUUGAGUGCUUACCACUAACAUUAAAGUGAAACUCAGAGCCCUUUUUUUUAUUAAUUAUUUUUUUGUGGUCGUAUUUGCUUUAUAACUUUAAGUUCUACAAGUUUUACAUUAGGAAAACAAGAAAAAAA